UGUGCCAUGGCCUACUUUUUAGUUUGCUCCCGACUCCCUCUUUAGAAGUAUAAUGUAAUAACUUGUGUGCAAAUUAUUAUGUUCUGUUCUAUUUGUCUUUCUAGAUUUUCUGCUUUCAAUUUGGCGUCUAUAAAAAACCCAAAAGGACUCAGAUUAGGGAGGUUUAGGUUUGUUGUAAAUUAUUUAUGGAAGUGGCAGUUGUAUUACAUGCCUGAGUUACUUUAUUAGUGACAGAGAAAAUUAUCUAUGGUAA
rnacentral:misc_RNA from 1 species